rnacentral:rRNA from 1 species
GCAAGUCGAGUGGGUUUAGACCCACGGCGAACGGCUGAGUAAUACGUUGGAACCUGCCCCGAACUCAGGGAUAACCCACCGAAAGGUGGGCUAAUACCGGAUAGUCCCGCAAGGGUAAAGCUUUUGCGGUUCGGGAGGGGCCUGCGGCCUAUCAGCUUGUUGGUAAGGUAAUGGCUUACCAAGGCUAUGACGGGUAGCUGAUCUGAGAGGAUGAUC